rnacentral:rRNA from 1 species
GGGCGCAWKYNCUGAUGCAGCNCMUGCCGCGUGUAUGAAGAAGGCCUUCGGGUUGUAAAGUACUUUCAGCGGGGAGGAAGGGAGUAAAGUUAAUACCUUUGCUCAUUGACGUUACCCGCAGAAGAAGCACCGGCUAACUCCGUGCCAGCAGCCGCGGUAAUACGGAGGGUGCAAGCGUUAAUCGGAAUUACUGGGCGUAAAGCGCACGCAGGCGGUUUKUUAAGUCAGAUGUGAAAUCCCCGGGCUCAACCUGGGAACUGCAUCUGAUACUGGCAAGCUUGAGUCUCGUAGAGGGGGGUAGAAUUCCAGGUGUAGCGGUGAAAUGCGUAGAGAUCUGGAGGAAUACC